AUGCACCUAAAAGGUGAGGAAAAGAGCUUCAAUUCAAGAGAACAAAAGCUGAAAGAGAAGUAAGCGGGCCUGGUGACUGAUAUGGCUGGAGGAUGGCUGGGCUGGUUGCUGUACUUUGGGCAGACUAAGGCACAUGGAUAACAGCAUGGAGAGUGAUAAGGGCACAGGCACCUCUGGCAUUUUCAUCUGACAGUGCUUUGGCUGAGAGUGAAGAGCAGAGAAGGCUCAAAGCAAG
rnacentral:lncRNA from 1 species